AUCCUUUUGUAGUUCAUAGGCGUGAUGAUUGGGUGUUUACGCCCUUGUGUGACAUAUGCUUCCCUUAAACUGUGUUGUGACCUCGCACAUUACCCAUCUGACG